rnacentral:rRNA from 1 species
AAUACAUGCAAGUCGAACGCUUUUUCUUUCACCGGAGCUUGCUCCACCGAAAGAAAAAGAGUGGCGAACGGGUGAGUAACACGUGGGUAACCUGCCCAUCAGAAGGGGAUAACACUUGGAAACAGGUGCUAAUACCGUAUAACACUAUUUUCCGCAUGGAAGAAAGUUGAAAGGCGCUUUUGCGUCACUGAUGGAUGGACCCGCGGUGCAUUAGCUAGUUGGUGAGGUAACGGCUCACCAAGGCAACGAUGCAUAGCCGACCUGAGAGGGUGAUCGGCCACACUGGGACUGAGACACGGCCCAGACUCCUACGGGAGGCAGCAGUAGGGAAUCUUCGGCAAUGGACGAAAGUCUGACCGAGCAACGCCGCGUGAGUGAAGAAGGUUUUCGGAUCGUAAAACUCUGUUGUUAGAGAAGAACAAGGAUGAGAGUAAAACGUUCAUCCCUUGACGGUAUCUAACCAGAAAGCCACGGCUAACUACGUGCCAGCAGCCGCGGUAAUACGUAGGUGGCAAGCGUUGUCCGGAUUUAUUGGGCGUAAAGCGAGCGCAGGCGGUUUCUUAAGUCUGAUGUGAAAGCCCCCGGCUCAACCGGGGAGGGUCAUUGGAAACUGGGAGACUUGAGUGCAGAAGAGGAGAGUGGAAUUCCAUGUGUAGCGGUGAAAUGCGUAGAUAUAUGGAGGAACACCAGUGGCGAAGGCGGCUCUCUGGUCUGUAACUGACGC